rnacentral:tRNA from 1 species
CAAGGCGUAGCUAUAAUUCAAAGCAUUCAGCUUACACCUGAAAGAUGCCUGCCCAUACAGGCCGCCUUGA